rnacentral:rRNA from 1 species
UACGUAGGGGGCGAGCGUUGUCCGGAAUCAUUGGGCGUAAAGGGCGCGUAGGCGGCCCUCCUAGUCGCGUGUGAAAGCCCCGGGCUCAACCUGGGAAUUGCAUUCGAGACUGCAUUGCUGGAGUACGGAAGAGGAGGGCGGAAUUCCCGGUGUAGCGGUGAAAUGCGUAGAUAUCGGGAGGAACAUCAGUGGCGAAGGCGGCCCUCUGGUCCAGUACUGACACUCAAGUGCGAAAGCGUGGGGAGCAAACAGG